rnacentral:rRNA from 1 species
UUAAAUUGAAGAGUUUGAUCAUGGCUCAGAUUGAACGCUGGCGGCAGGCCUAACACAUGCAAGUCGAACGGUAACAGGAAGCAGCUUGCUGCUUUGCUGACGAGUGGCGGACGGGUGAGUAAUGUCUGGGAAACUGCCUGAUGGAGGGGGAUAACUACUGGAAACGGUGGCUAAUACCGCAUAACGUCGCAAGACCAAAGAGGGGGACCUUCGGGCCUCUUGCCAUCAGAUGUGCCCAGAUGGGAUUAGCUAGUUGGUGAGGUAACGGCUCACCAAGGCGACGAUCCCUAGCUGGUCUGAGAGGAUGACCAGCCACACUGGAACUGAGACACGGUCCAGACUCCUACGGGAGGCAGCAGUGGGGAAUAUUGCACAAUGGGCGCAAGCCUGAUGCAGCCAUGCCGCGUGUAUGAAGAAGGCCUUCGGGUUGUAAAGUACUUUCAGCGGGGAGGAAGGUGUUGUGGUUAAUAACCGCAGCAAUUGACGUUACCCGCAGAAGAAGCACCGGCUAACUCCGUGCCAGCAGCCGCGGUAAUACGGAGGGUGCAAGCGUUAAUCGGAAUUACUGGGCGUAAAGCGCACGCAGGCGGUCUGUCAAGUCGGAUGUGAAAUCCCCGGGCUCAACCUGGGAACUGCAUUCGAAACUGGCAGGCUUGAGUCUUGUAGAGGGGGGUAGAAUUCCAGGUGUAGCGGUGAAAUGCGUAGAGAUCUGGAGGAAUACCGGUGGCGAAGGCGGCCCCCUGGACAAAGACUGACGCUCAGGUGCGAAAGCGUGGGGAGCAAACAGGAUUAGAUACCCUGGUAGUCCACGCCGUAAACGAUGUCUACUUGGAGGUUGUGCCCUUGAGGCGUGGCUUCCGGAGCUAACGCGUUAAGUAGACCGCCUGGGGAGUACGGCCGCAAGGUUAAAACUCAAAUGAAUUGACGGGGGCCCGCACAAGCGGUGGAGCAUGUGGUUUAAUUCGAUGCAACGCGAAGAACCUUACCUGGUCUUGACAUCCACAGAACUUUCCAGAGAUGGAUUGGUGCCUUCGGGAACUGUGAGACAGGUGCUGCAUGGCUGUCGUCAGCUCGUGUUGUGAAAUGUUGGGUUAAGUCCCGCAACGAGCGCAACCCUUAUCCUUUGUUGCCAGCGGUUAGGCCGGGAACUCAAAGGAGACUGCCAGUGAUAAACUGGAGGAAGGUGGGGAUGACGUCAAGUCAUCAUGGCCCUUACGACCAGGGCUACACACGUGCUACAAUGGCGCAUACAAAGAGAAGCGACCUCGCGAGAGCAAGCGGACCUCAUAAAGUGCGUCGUAGUCCGGAUUGGAGUCUGCAACUCGACUCCAUGAAGUCGGAAUCGCUAGUAAUCGUGGAUCAGAAUGCCACGGUGAAUACGUUCCCGGGCCUUGUACACACCGCCCGUCACACCAUGGGAGUGGGUUGCAAAAGAAGUAGGUAGCUUAACCUUCGGGAGGGCGCUUACCACUUUGUGAUUCAUGACUGGGGUGAAGUCGUAACAAGGUAACCGUAGGGGAACCUGCGGUUGGAUCACCUCCUUACCU